rnacentral:rRNA from 1 species
UAGGGAAUCUUCCACAAUGGACGCAAGUCUGAUGGAGCAACGCCGCAUGAGUGAAGAAGGUCUUCGGAUCGUAAAACUCUGUUGUUAGAGAAGAACACGAGUGAGAGUAACUGUUCAUUCGAUGACGGUAUCUAACCAGCAAGUCACGGCUAACUACGUGCCAA